GAAUUGUCGAGUUUGUCUUGUGAAGCUCCAUUUUCAACAUACCAAGCGAUCGUUGAAAAUAUAAUCAAAGGAUGGAUCACUACCACAACAGCUAGGUCGACACAAGACAGAACCAGGAUCAUAAAAUGACAGCGCAUCUUCCUCAGGUUAUUUGACUUCCAGAAACACAGAAUAACAACGGCGUUGAGGAACGAGCCAAGGAGAAGAAAUAAGAUGUUGACACAAGACAACGCUAUCACGUUGAUCAGAAGAUAUGCACCCAUUUUGUCUGAACAAUUUGGAACUGCAGUGGAAUAGUUUAAUUCCCAGCCGCUAGUUUACAGUAGGUCUUUAAAGCCAGCCGUAUACUUUUUUGUAGUUACCGGAGCUGUACGUCUAUUGCAGUGCAUGCAAUAGCAGCCGUU